GGAAGCUGGGCAGGACUUAGUAUCAGUAGGGACAGCACAAGCAAGCGCCUGGAACCACCUGGAAGGGUGGCUGGCUGCCUGUGGCUGAGCCUCGGAGAACAAAAGGCCAGAAAAUCCUCAGCCUGGGAUGGAGGACGACUGGCAAAAUCAGGCUGUGGAGUUUGGGGAUGUUUUUCUCGGGUCAGAGCUGAGGGCCCCAUGAUUCCCAGACUGGACCCCGACCUUCAGGCAAGACACCGUACCCGGUUUCCUUCGAGGGCGGGGUUAACCGCCCGGAAACGGAAGUCUCGCUCUCUUCCGUUCUCCAUUCCUGCCGCCUGCCGUGAGUGUCUCUGCGGGUAAAGGGAGCCUGGGGGGCCAUCCGGGGUAAUCCGCGAGUGGGUGCCGGCCGCGCGCUGACCCCCGCGACCCCGUUGCCAUGGUGAGUGUGGCCCGCGCUGGACCCCCUCGGGGAGGGCGGGGGGCGGGGGCCCCCGGUUCCCGUGAGGAGCUGGUGGCGGUGCUCGGGUCACGGCCGGAAGCGGCGUCCGCGCGGCUCACCAGCGCUGGCUUUGCGUUGC
rnacentral:lncRNA from 12 species